AUGGGGAAGGGGAUGGGACGCGAUAAAUAUGAACCUGCAGCCGUUUCAGAACAUAGUGACAAAAAGAAGGCCAAGAAAAAGAGGGAUAUGGAUGAGUUGAAGAAAGACGUAUCUAUGGAUGACCAUAAACUUAGCCUUGAUGAGCUUCAUCGCAAAUAUGGAACAGACUUGAGCCGAGGUUUAACACCUGCUCGAGCUGCAGAGAUCCUGGCCCGAGAUGGUCCCAAUGCCCUCACCCCUCCUCCCACUACUCCUGAAUGGGUCAAAUUCUGUCGGCAGCUGUUUGGGGGAUUCUCAAUGUUGCUGUGGAUUGGAGCAGUUCUUUGCUUCUUGGUUUACGGCAUUGUAGUUGCCACAGAAAUGGACCCUAGUAAUGAUAAUCUCUAUCUUGAUGUGGUGCUGUCAGCUGCUGUCCUCAUCGCGGGUUGUUUCUCCUACUAUCAAGAAGCGAAAAGUUCGAAGAUCAUGGAAUCCUUCAAAAACAUGGUUCCUCAGCAAGCUCUCGUGAUUCGAAAUGGUGAGAAAAUGAGCAUCAAUGCAGAAGAAGUUGUUGUUGGGGAUCCGGUGGAAGUGAAAGGUGGAGACCGAAUCCCUGCAGAUUUGAGAAUCAUUUCUGCGAACGGCUGCAAGGUGGAUAACUCCUCGCUCACUGGAGAAUCCAAGCCUCAGACCAGGUCUCCAGAUUUCACAAAUGAGAACCCUCUGGAGACAAGGAACAUUGCCUUUUUUUCAACCAACUGUGUUGAAGGCACAGCACGUGGUAUUGUUGUAUACACUGGGCACCGCACUGUGAUGGGACGAAUUGCCACACUUGCUUCUGGACUACAAGGUGAUCAGACUCCUAUUGCUGCAGAAAUCGAGCAUUUCAUCCACAUCAUCACGGGUGUGGCUGUGUUCCUUGGCGUGUCUUUCUUCAUCCUCUCUCUGAUCCUGGAGUACACUUGGCUUGAGGCUGUCAUUUUCCUCAUCGGCAUCAUUGUAGCUAAUGUGCCAGAAGGCUUGCUGGCCACUGUCACGGUGUGUCUGACGCUUACUGCCAAACGCAUGGCAAGGAAAAACUGCCUGGUGAAGAACUUGGAAGCUGUUGGAGACCUUGGGGUCCACAUCUACCAUCUGUUCUGACAAAACUGGAACCUUGACUCAGAACCGGAUGACUGUUGCUCACAUGUGGUUUGACAAUCAGGUCCAUGAAGCUGAUACUACAGAGAACCAGAGUGGUGUCUCAUUCGAUAAGACAUCAGCGACCUGGAUUGCUCUGUCGAGAAUUGCAGGUCUUUGUAACAGGGCAGUGUUCCAGGCUAAUCAGGAAAAUCUACCUAUUCUCAAGUGGGCAGUUGCCAGAGAUGCCUCUGAGUCAGCCCUCCUGAAGUGCAUUGAGGUGUGCUGCGGUUCGGUGAAGGAGAUGAGGGAGCAGUACGCCAAGAUUGUAGAGAUACCUUUCAACUCCACCAACAAGUACCAGCUGUCUAUUUAUAAGAACCCCAACACAUCCGAACCCCGGCUCCUACUAGUUAUGAAGGGAGCUCCAGAGAGGAUCUUGGACCGCUGCAGUUCCAUCCUUCUCCAUGGCAAGGAGCAGCCCCUGGAUGAGGAGCUGAAAGAAGCCUUUCAGAAUGCCUACUUGGAGCUUGGGGGCCUCGGAGAGCGAGUGCUAGGUUUCUGCCACCUUUUUCUGCCAGAUGAACAGUUUCCUGAAGGGUUCCAGUUUGACACCGAUGACGUCAAUUUCCCUGUUGAAAACCUCUGCUUUGUUGGCCUCAUCUCCAUGAUUGACCCUCCCAGUGCUGCUGUUCCUGAUGCUGUGGGCAAAUGCCGAAGCACUGGAAUUAAGGUCAUCAUGGUUAUAGGAGACCACCCAAUCACAGCCAAAGCCAUUGCCAAAGGUGUGGGCAUCAUCUCAGAGGGCAACGAGACUGUGGAAGACAUUGCUGCCUGCCUCAACAUCCCAGUGAGCCAGGUGAACCCCAGAGAUGCCAAGGCCUGUGUGGUCCAUGGAAGUGACCUGAAGGACAUGAACGCUGAGCAGCUGGAUGACAUUCUGAAGUACCACACUGAGAUUGUGUUUGCCAGAACCUCCCCUCAGCAGAAGCUCAUUAUCAUGGAGGGCUGCCAGUGCCAGGGUGCCACUGUGGCUGUAACUGGUGAUGGUGUGAAUGACUCUCCAGCAUUGAAGAAGGCAGACAUUGGGGUUGCCAUGGGAAUUGCUGGCUCAGAUGUGUCUAAACAAGCUGCUGACAUGAUUCUUUUAGAUGACAACUUUGCUUCAGUUGUGACUGGAGUUGAGGAAGGUCAUGUGAUCUUUGAUAACUUGAAGAAAUCCAUUGCUUAUACCCUCACCAGUAACAUUCCUGAGAUCACCCCCUUCCUGAUAUUUAUUAUUGCAAACAUUCCACUCCCACUGGGGACCGUCACCAUCCUCUGCAUUGAUUUGGGCACUGACAGGGUUCCCGCCAUCUCUCUGGCAUACGAGCAAGCUGAGAGUGAUAUCAUGAAGAGACAGCCCAGAAAUCCCAAAACAGACAAACUGGUGAAUAAGAGGCUCAUCAGUAUGGCCUAUGGACAGAUUGGUAUGAUCCAGGCACCUGGGAGGCUUCUUCACUUAUUUUGUGAUUCUGGCUGAGAAUGGAUUCCUCCCCUUUGACCUCCUGGGCAUCCGAAUGGACUGGGAUGACCACUGGGUCAACGAUUUGGAAGACAGCUAUGGUCAGCAGUGGACAUACGAGCAGAGGAAAAUCAUGGAGUUCACCUGCCACACUGCCUUCUUUGUCAGCAUCGUGGUGGUGCAGUGGGCUGAUCUGAUCAUCUGCAAGACCAGAAGGAAUUCUGUCUUCCAGCAGGGGAUGAAGAACAAGAUCUUAAUAUUUGGCCUCUUUGAAGAGACGGCCCUUGCUGCUUUCCUUUCCUACUGCCCUGGCAUGGGGGUGGCCCUCCCUUCAAACCUACCUGGUGGUUCUGUGCCUUCCCUUACUCACUUCUCAUCUUCGUGUAUGAUGAAGUCAGAAAGCUCAUCAUCAGGUGAAGCCCUGGCGGCUGGGUGGAGAAGGAAACCUGCUACUAG